UAGCAGCAUGAUUUAUAAUCCUUUGGGUAUAUACCCAGUACCCACCCAAGUGAUGCUGAUGCCCAUUUUCCUGAAGACCAUACCUUCAAAAACACUGACUAGCCAUUUCCUUCUGGUCCCUCUUCCUCGUGUUCUGUAUUCCACCGAAAGGGAGAAGAAAUAUUAUUAUCUUUCCAGGUAAUAUCUUUUCAUCUGUGCUGUGUGCAAGGACACAAAGGAAGACAACUAAAGUUGAAAUAAUGAAAAAAGUCCCAGUCUGAUGCUUAGAUUCUGAUUUAUUGGAAUUAUUUUGACUGUAACAAUUUUAACCAAAAAUAGGGUUUCUUAACCUUGGUACUAUUGACAUUUGGGACCAGAUCAUUCUUUGCCUUGUGUGUGGGAGGCUAUCCUGUGCAUUGUAGGAAGUUGAGCAGCAUAUCUGGCCUCCACCUACUAGAUACCAGUAGCAGCUACCCCUCCCUCCAAGUUACAGCAACCAGAUAUGCCUCCAGAUAUUGUCAAAUGUGCCCUAAGGGGCAAAUUUGCCCCUGGCUGAGAACCACCUUCAUAAGGCAUGGUCCCCAAAGAAAAGAAUCAAGAAAUUAGGCUUGGAGCAGUUUUCUUCAGUUGGUUCUUAUUGCACAGCAAGGCAAAGAAGGCCCUGCUAAACUGUUGGUGCUUGACCUUUAUGUACCAAGCAUUCCUGGGGGAUCUGGAACUCCCUGGCUCAUCCUCUCUAUUUGCUGGAUUAAUGAGAUACAGACAGUUUAAGUGACUUGGCAGGAAAAGGACAUUCUGUUUUAUUCUCCUCAUUUUAUUACACUCCUGACAACAAAUUCUUAACAUUUGCCUUAUAUGUUCUGCUCCCUAUCAUUAUCAUAAGAUAGAUUAGUGGGUGAGGGGGGUAGGGAAACCAAUAUAUGUGAAAUUGCUUUGAAACCUGCAGACACCAGAGUAAUGCCAGGUGUCAUCAUUCAUCCUACUCCUGAGCCUCUGAAGCCAGGAGUUUCUUGAGGUUAUAAAAGUGGUUUUUUGGGGGGUGACUAGUCAAGUACUCCAAAGAACUCCAGAGUGGUCAGUUUUGAUCACACAAAUGGCCAAUUUUUACCCAGUCUGUUAGCCUUUUAACAGCACACCAUGUUGCGUGGAGACCCACUUGUGUAUGACUCUUCAACGAUGGGUGGAGACCCAGGGCUCAGUUCUACUCUUCUGCUCUGGAGAACUUUCUCUUUGUUUACUUGGGUGGUGCAAGACCUACUUCACUGAAAGAAAAUGUGUUGUUAGUGUGAGAGGCACUGCUAAGUGGAAAUUAUUAAAGAAUGAAUUCCUUAUGUCUGUGAAAGGUUUCUCCACCUUGGCACUCUAGACAUUUGGGACCAGAACAUUCUUUGUUGUGAAGGCUGUCCUGUGCAGCGCAGGAUGUUUAGCAGCAUCUCUGGUCUCCACCCACUGGAUGCAAGUGACACCCUUCCCCUGCAGUUGUGGCAGCCAAAGAUAGCUUCAGAUAUUGCCAAGUUUCUUCUCAGUGGCAAAAUUUCCCCUGUUGAGAAUCACUGGCCUAGGAGGUAUGGAUGUGACACCAGCAAUCUAAUGAAUGGGUCUGACUUGUCAAAAAGAAUCUCUACCUUGAAACAUACUGGAAUGGCCUGCAAAGAGAUUGGGGUCAACUACUAUUUACAUCGCAACUCCACCAUUUAUUAGAUGUGCAAAACAAGUUAAUUACCCUCAUAAAUAAAAUUAAGAUAAUCAUACUUUCCUUCCGGGUUGUUUUGCGGAUCCAGAUGUUUGCAAAGCAUCUAGUUGAGCCUGUGACGUAGGUGCUUAAUGAAUAGUGGAAUUGUUACCAUUUCCAACAACAAUUCUAGCACCUGCAGUGUUGGCGUUGUCAUGGGAAUUCUGCAGGGUUUAGACAACUGAAACACUGUGCAACUGUGCAGAAGAAAGGAGAUUAUGAACAGAGGAAUGAAGGCAAUAGACUAACAUUUGAUUAUGGAUAUAAAUGAAAAAUCAUUUCUUAAUUCCCAGACGGUUAUUUGGAAAGUCAUAGCUGGAGAAAUUGCGGCCUCUCCUUUUUGCCUAAUGACCCUUUAAUUGAACAUAUAAGAAAUGUCUCUUUUUAGGUACUUUUUAAGGAUACCCUCUCUGGUUGUGUGGCAUAGAGUAGAAAUUCUUCAGCGAAAAUAUCAAAAUGGCAAAAACAAGAUAAGCCAAUAAUACCAAAUAGAACCUACUGUAAUGGUCAUUCUUUUUUCCUCACCCUUCCUUGCUUGUUUUCUUUCCCUGAAUUCUCAGAUUAUCAUAUUCUUGACUCCAGUUGAUGCAUGUAUUUAUGAUAUUCUUCGUACUAGGGUUUGAAGCCAAAGACAAUGGUACUAUGCUGUGCCAGGAUGUUCUCCUCUCUCUUCUCCAUCUCUCCUAUGUGACCACAGCUCCAGGCACCAUUUUUGGAAACACCAGGAAUUCUUCCUUCACUGCUCUUCAGCCCAGCUGUCUUCAGGCUGGGGUUUGUCUCCCUAAACUUACCUGGAAAAAAGAAUGAGGACCUUCAUUCUUCCUUAUAUUUCUUCUAUCUCUACAUCCCUGGAAGGGUUAACAGGGUGGGAAGAAAUUAUGGCUGUAGAGCAAAAUGAUAAUUCCUGAAAUGGCAUAUAUGUUUACAGUUGUCAGGCUGAGAUUUUACCCCCAGUUUGCUGAAAUUCUGCCUAAUGAGAUGUCCUCCCUUAAAAGCACAUUCGGUGUAUUCAUUGCUCCUGUCUGUGAGUAUGGGUGAAGUCAGCCUUGUCAUUGCCAAUGCCAGGGCCCUAGCAGGGCUGGUAGGUUCUUCACUUACAGGAGAUUUCAGAUGAGGAGGGCCUUAAGCUGCUACUCCAACUCUCCUUUCUGAUCCUGGACUUUGAUUGCCUUAAUUUCAUCUCUGUAGCUCUAUGAAAAAACUUUAAAAAGAGACAACUCUAAACUGUGUUCAGUCUUCAUAUAAACUGUGUUCAGUCUGUUUAUACAAUAGUGUAAAUAAAGAUUCUAAUUAAUACAGUUUGGAAAACUGUUAGGCAUUGUCUAGUAAAGUUGAAGAUAUGCAUGCCUAUGACCCAGCAGUUAUAUUCCUGGGUUUGUACCCUAUAAAAAUGCAUGCACAUAUGCACAAGGAGAUAUGUAUAAUGAUGUUUAAGCAGUGUGGUUUUCAGUAGUCCAAGAUUGAAAGGGACAUAAAUGUCCAUCAACAGUUACAAAGAUAAAUAGUAAUAAACACAUAUAAUGAGUACUAGACAGCAAUGGGAAUGAACAAACAACAGCUACAUACAGCAACAUGAAUGAGCCUUAGAAACAGAAUGUUGAGCAAAAGAAGUCAGCUACAAUAAACGCAUACUUACGAAUUUGUUUAUAUAAAGUUAGGAAACAGGCAACACUAAGCUCUAAUAUUUAUGGAUGCCUGACUUCCUAAAAAGCAGUGGAUUUCAACCAGGAGUGAUUAUGCCUUUCCCCACUCCCUGGGGGACAUCUGCAAUGUCUAGAGUCAUCUUUGGUUACCACAAUUGGUGUAGGGGGAAUAAUACUGGCAUAUAGUGGGUAGAGGCUGGGGGUGAUGCGAAACAUUCUGCAAUGUCAGGCUCUACCACAAAGAAUGAUUGGUUCCCAAAUGUCAAGAGUGUUGGAGUUGAGAAACCCUGCUGGAAAAGGGAAGUGAAGAAGUGAAGUCAUGACAGUGUCUACCACUGGGAUGGGGGAGGGAAAUACAGCCAAGGGACAUGGGGGUCUAGGGUACUAGCAAUAUUCUAAUUUUUGACCUCAGUGAAGGUUAGACAGGUGAAUGUUUUGUAACAAUUCAUUAAGCUGCACAUUAUAUGCUAUGAUUUUUCCAUUUCAAAAUGUUAAAAAUACUCUAGGGCUCUAGAGGCUAGAUUAGCAGGGCAAUAGGAUGGCAUAGUGUGGGCACUGGGUUUGGGGGAGGGGUUACCCAUCUAAGAGGAUCUCAUAGUAACUCUGUUAAUAAUGGUGGGGCUGGGCCUCCAAGAAGGGCCUGUCCUGCCAUCUGAAGUGAUUUUUAAUACUCAGAUGGGCCCUCAGCUCUUCCUACACUAUGAAGUUGAAUUUGCUUUCACAGAUUUGGGUAAAGUUUUUCUGAAAAAAGUAAUCCCCUUGCAUUGGCAUUAACUGUGGAAAAUUUUAACUCAGCCUAUAGGCAGGCAGAAUAAAUGCAAACAAGGAUUUUAAUUUAAAUGCUCUGGCAGAAAGGGCAGCAUUCAGUUCUGGAAAUGCUGUAACGUUUAGGGACAGGAAGACGUGGAAAUUCCACAGUUAGCAGGGCACAUUUUCUCUUAAAGGUGAUGCUAGUAGAGUAACUCAUACAGAUUAUUUUUAAGUCCUCUCUGGGGUGAAUUAUAAAUAUCUGAUAAAUUUAUUUUUUAAAAAAAGAAAAAAAAACUAAACAAAGAAUAACAUUAGCCUAGCAGGCUCUUAACCAACAAAUUGGAUGAACUUCAGCCUCCUCUGAAGUGAGGUUUUAUGUGCUUCUUGCUCCUUUUUCUCUCUCUCCAUUACCCCCAAAGGAUCAAACGUGCAUUCUGAAACCACAUGCCAUGUCAAUAUACAGUUUAGUUGACUUAGAACAAUACCUGUGCAUAGUAUGCACUUAGAAGUAUUUAUAAAGUGUGGAAUGAUAGACAGUGGACACUCAGAAGGACAGUGGGGGUGGAUGAUGGUAAAUUACUUAAUGGGCAAAAUGUACAUUCUUCUGGUGAUGGAUACCCUAAAAGCUCUGACUUCAUCACUACACAGUCUAUCCAUGUAAUGAAAUUAUACUGCUACCCCAUACAUUUAUACAAAUAAAAAAGUUAAAUGUAAAAUAUUAUUUGUUGAAUCAUGACCAAGUGAACAAAUAACGUGGGAAGGAUACUUGGAAGUACAGGUAUGCAAAUAAGAAAUUUUGAUUAGAGUAGUGUUUUAAAUAUACCCUGAAAUAUAUUUAAAUGAAAUAAUAAUGUGUGAAAUUCAAAUUGUUUAAGAUUGAACAGACUUCUUAGAGUUCUGCAUGAUCUUCUACAUCCCUUCUGGAGCUUUGAGCCUUAAACAAUUGGACUAAGAAUUGAAGGAGGUGGAUGAUUCAUUCCAAGGUGAUUUAAGAGUCUUGCAGCAUGAACUGAUCAUUUCUUUAAGUGCUUUGCCCAAUCUCACAAAACUCUUCAAACACAGAGAAAAAACAACCCUAUUGCACUUGAACAUUUUACUCCAACUUAGCUAUGACACUUUAGCAAUAAAUAAUGCUAGAAGGCAGAAGUCAUUCCUAAAAUGUAAGUACACAGUGUGGGGAUGAUGGAGUAUUUUUGGCUUACAAGAAUGUCAUUUAGUGACUUACUACAUUUUUCAAAGAAAGAAUACAAACCAAAUCUAGGAUGACCCAGUUUUAAGAGGUGACUUACUCAGGGGUAAUGAUCAAAAGGCUAUGGUUAAGGUUUUAAAGACCCAGGGAUUCACCUUGUGUUGUUUAAAUAGAUUAAUAAUUAAAUAGUGUUUGUAGGGAAAGGGAUUUUUAGCUUCAGGGGCUUAAAGGCAAGUGUGACAGAAGAAAAAGUUCUAAGGCUGGAGUGUUCAUCUUUCUGAAUAGACCACAGUGAAGUGAAAGUCCCUAAACUGGGGCUUGUCUAGGCCAUUGAAUUACAUCUGUAUACACAUGCCCCCAUCAGGCUGCCCUGGCUGCAGUUCUCUGAAAGAUGCCAGAUGGUGAAGCUCAAGCUGGUUCUCUGUCUUAUUCUAAGGGUCUUUGAUGACUUUCCUCUAAAGGUUGCUUUUAGCAGCAGAACAGAGUGAAAGUAGAGGGAACUUCAGUGUGUCAUUUUUCCAGCUCUGCCUGGACAUGUCGCAGAGCAGGGAAGGCCUCCAAGAUGAAUGGGCAUGCUCAUUUCUCUCACAAAGCAGAAGAAAGGAGACUUGGGUAGGUCAGACUGCGGGAGAACGAGAGACUUGGGCAAAUAGUGCGGGAGAAUGAGAGACUUGGGCAAAUAGUUCAAUUGACUUUCUCAUAAGACAGGCAACACUGGAAGUUCCUGGGUUUGGCAAGGGAUUGAUUUUAAAUUUAUUUUUAUUUUUUAUGUUUGCAGUAUAAAAUACACAUAGUGAAGGGUGUAAAUUAUACUAGUCUGAACUGUACUGCUCAGUGAAAGUUUACAUAUGGGUGUACUCCAGUAGCUGCCAUACAGAUCAAGAUAUAGAUCAUUUCCAGCACCCUAGAAAGUUCCCUUGUACCACCUUCCUAGUCAAUACCACCUUCCCCCUUUGGUAACCACUAUUAUGACACCUAUCACCAUGGAUUCCAUUUGCCUAUUGUACUUAAACAUUUGAAUUUCAGUUGCAGAAUAAAUAAGUGAAAUCUUACAGUAUGUACACUUGUGUCUGGUUUCUUUUUCCCAACAUAAUGUUUGUGAGGUUAAUUCAUUUGUUCCGUGCAUCAGUAGCAUUUUCCUUUUUAUUGCGGAGUAGUAUUCCAUCAUGUGCACAGACUAUAGUUGGUUUGUCAUGCACCAGUUGGUGUACAUUUGGAUCGCUUUUAUUUGGGGCAAUUAUGCCUCAAGACAGUAUGAACAUUCUUGUAUAUGAUGAGAUUAUUGUACUCUAUAUAUCUAGGGGUGGAAUUUGCUGGAUCAGAGGAUAGGCCUAUGAUUGAGUUUAGCAGAUAUAACCAUACAGUUUUCCAAGUGGAUAAACCAUCAUGGGACUAUCUAAUGGUAGAUUCCUCAGGUCACUUGCACCUCUGGCUUCACAUUCCCACUGCUAAUUACAAUUAUGCUGCGAAUUGUUUUAAAAUGUUACAUGGUUCAUUCAACUAAAUUGUAAGGGCUGAAAUUCAGGGGCCACAUCCAACUUUCCUCCCUCCUCCUCUUACACAGAGCAAGUGGAGAGUCAUUCAGCUGGUUCAGUACAGUGGGACCCUGACAAAUUGGCACAAGCUACCCCCAAACACAUCUUCCACUUCGUAGCCACCCCUCUGGGGCUUGCAUUGAUUGAUUUCAUGAAUCUGGAGUCUCUACUCUGGCCCCAGGCCUGGCUUUUGUCUGGGUUCAACUUGUGGGAGGCUGGACGUAAAUUACAGAAUGACAAGGCUGUGGAGGGAACUCUGUGAUCUUCUCCAAGGUGUUUUAAAGUACAGGUUUCCAUGAGGCAAUUUCAGAGCAGAGACCAGUUUUAAGGGUUAUUAUGAACCUACAGGAUGUGUCCUGCAAACCCCUCCUGGAACUCGGUUAGCCCUAGGUGACCAGCAUCCCGCACAGCCUUGUCCCCUCAGCAGUUCCCCUGGGUAGCAUGACUUGGUUCCUGUCAGUCCUGCCCUCUCCAAGGGUCCCCGCAUUUGAGACUGUAACAGAAGAAGGCUUUCUAGAAAGGGAAACUCUGCCCUCCCAGGAGAAGGCUCUGAAUCUCCUUCCACUGUCAGGCCCACACCUCCUUCAAAGUUAGUGAAAGUCUCUCUUUCUUGGAAACCCAAGUUCUCCCUCUCACUGGCAUUGAAGGGUUUGGCAGUCCCCGCCUCAGCAGCCGGGGUCCCACGGGUCCGGGGAGGGUAGGGUAGCAGGAGGCAGGCGUGCCGGCCGGCCUGACACCUGUCGUGGGCGCGUUCGGCCUCCGCAACCCCCCAACAGCUGUCAGCGGUGGCUGCCGCAGGGACCAGCCAGGAGCGGAAGGAAUUAAACGCCCGCCCAUCGCAUCAGACUCGGCCGCUCCCUCCUCCUCCUCCUCUUCCCCCUCCCACUUUGCGCCGCCUUCUCCAGGUCCCCACCGGCUCUGCGGCGGGACGCUGUGUCAGGGGCGCUUUGCAUAGCACUCGGCACGCACGGAGCAGGGCUCUCGCCCCGGGGCUGCCCCGGGAUGGCAGUGAAGUACGGGGAACUCAGAGAGACACCGUGACCCCAGACUGAGCCCAAGGCGCGCCACUCCUCCCGGAGGCAACAUGGGGCACCCGGUGUACCGCGGCGAGAAGCCCCAGCUGCACUACGCGCGAGAAAGAACGUGGGUCCUACAUUAGGACUGACAUCAGAGGAAAGAGAAAUGUUUAUAACCAGAAAGGAACUUAAAGAUGAGGAAGAGAAUGACAAUUUUGAUGACUGCAACAAUGAUGUUGAUGCUAUAGGUUUAAAUAGUACUUUAUAAGCUACAGAGAUAUGAGAUGGACAAGACACAACAGAACUUAACAGGACUAGAAGCAGAUGUGCCUGCCUGAUAGGGCGGAAGCCUGGAAACCCCACAAUCUGGAGCGCCACUAUCCAGCAGGACGAGACCAAGGGGAAUCCUAGAGGAAUCCUUCUCUAGCCUUCAAGUCUGGGGAGAGCCUACCCUGUUCCUGGCCUGGCUCACUUAGGUCGACUGUUCUCAUGUACAGGAUCUUUGUAAGUUGGUUGUUUCUAGGGCACCUGUAUUUAGUUAUAUGAUAUGAAUGUUUAUUUUAAUGUAGUAGCUCUGGAUCCAGGCACAAAUAUAUUAGAAUGUAAGGUUCAUUUUUAUUUUUAAAAGAUUUUACUUCAUUUUGACUAAUUUCAGUUUUGAUUAUGAUCUCCUGCUUCUUUACCAGUUUAAAGCCAUCAUUUUUAUGCAAAUAAAAUGAGUGUGCAUGAUUGUAGUAAAACAUUCCAUUUUGUGGUUAUAGGAGGAAAUGGGAGAAGUGGGUGGUGCAUUGUGUGUGUGUGUGUGUGUGUGUGUGUGUGUGUAUGUGUGUGUGUGUGUAAUUUGAAUAUGACCUAAAGGAGGGGGGUGUUUGUUGCACCAAGACAUACUUCAAGGAAUUAAAAAUUGUGUUGUACUAAAGGGAGGUCUUUUUCACUAAUAACUUAGAAGUAUUGCAGACCAUUUAGUGUUUUUUGUUGGCCAGAAGUAUUAUAAUUAACAGACUUUUUCCCCCCUGGGAGCUCUUUGAAUGCAUAAUUUCUUUAAAAAGAUUUUUAAAGACUGACCGACCACCUGAAAAUUAUUUUCUGCUAAUCCCAAGCAAAUGUCUCUGUAAUAUAAAUACUGCUUUAAAGUUAUCUUAUGGGGUACAUAUGACCCAAAGGGAAAAUAACUUGUUUAUUAAGUUGAUUUUCUUUCUUUUUUUAUGAUUCACAAAUUGUCAAAUUCAUCCUGUUUGGGACAGUAGAAAUAUGGAAACAUGUAAAUGAAUAACAUUUUUAAAGUGUAAAUCAACUAAAAUGUAUAUGAAGCCCUGCUGGAUUCUUAGGCAGUCUCUUGAUAUUUCUAAGUCACACUUCUCUCUUCUAGGAUUCUAUUUUGGGACAUAGUCAUAAACACAAAAGGAAGAUUUCAGCACCAAAUUAUAUUCAUCUUUAAAAUAUUGGGGCCCUUCAGCCCUUCUAAACACUGGAAAACUCUCUGGAGUUUGGUUUGCCAAGACAUGGGAAACUUUUUUUCCAGAAUAUUUUUAAGGGAAAAUUAUAUUUUAGGGUUAUGAAUGUAGAAUGAUAACACAGAUAAUUUACCAUAUUUAAUAAACCUCUAUAGCUAAGUCUAGGUUCUCUUUGAAAGAUCUUGUUUUUUUUCACCCAGCCCCAUAGUUACAUAUUUGAGGGAGUGAAACUGAGCAUACAGGAUUUUUGGAGUGGCAGGUCCAUUUGAAAUCCUUCUCAUCCAAUGUGUUCGUUUUGUAGAAAAGGGAACUGGAGCCCAGAGGGAUUCAGUGACUUGAGCAAGGCUACUGUUGGUAAUGGCAAUAGUAGGAGUGGCCAUCAUUUACUGAAGGUCUUCUUUUUCUGGAUUUCCUUACAUUUUAUUUUACCCUCACAACCACCUUGUAAAGCAGGGGGCCAUAUUCCAGUUUUACAAGUGAGAAAUCUGAAGUUUGGGAAGUCCUCUAGCUGUUCAAAGUCAACAGGUACUAAGAGGCAGAGCAAGAAUCCACUGAUUGUGGAUGCCUGAUGGCUUCUGCCUCAGGGUGUUUUCCAUUAUACCAGACAUUUCCCAGGUCUAAGUAGAAAUACAAGAAGCAUUCCUUCUUUAUACAUGUUUACUUCUAAUAUAUCAAGAACAUCUCUAUCUAAGCAAUCACCCUGAUACUCAAUCUUUUGGAUAGUAGUCUGGGGUAUUGGGUCUCCUUACCUUAGUUUUUCUGACAAAAAGUAAUCUCCCUCCUACUGGAUUUCAUAAUACUCCAAAAUUUGUCUUCAGUGGAUACCUCAACAUAUCCUUUGAAAUGUCUAUUUUAUUUAGAUCUGAAGAAGAGUAUACUUUUUUUUGCUGUCAUUCGGUGAUUCAUUCAUGUAUCUAUUCACUAAGUAUGUUUUGAAUGCCUACUAUAUGCAGAUGCUAUUCUAGGCUUUGGAGAUACAGUUCUGGACAAAAUAGACACAAACCCCUGCCCUGAUGGUACUUUCUUUCUAGAGGGCCAAAGGAUGGCCAAUACAUACACAGCAAACAAUAAGGUAAGUGAGAUGGUGAUAGAUACACUAGAAACAAAAAACAGAGAAGUUUGUUUAAUGAGUGGAAUGAGACACCAGGAAGAUGGGAUAGGAGUUACUUAAAAAUAAACUUCACUGAGAGGGGAAAUUGGGGAGUGCUUCGUAUCACAUUGUCAAUGCAGCAAAAAAAUGCCAGUGUCUAUUUUUUCAGCAAAUUCCUUUCCAAAAACGUAAGUCUUCAAUUCCCCACCAAUAGUAAAAUGCUUAUCCUAACUCUGUCUCUAUCCUUAUGAUAUCCUCCCAUCCACCCUUUAUAGAACCCAUUGUUAUCACUAUUAUACAAAAAAAAAAAAAAAAAAAA